GACAGAGGGUGCAAACGUUGUUCGGAAUUACUGGGCGUAAAGCGCGUGUAGGCGGCUAUGCAAGUCGGGUGUGAAAUCCCACGGCUCAACCGUGGAAGUGCACUCGAAACUACGUAGCUGGAGUUCUGGAGAGGAAGGUGGAAUGCUCGGUGUAGAGGUGAAAUUCGUAGAUAUCGAGUGGAACACCGGUGGCGAAGGCGGCCCCCUGGGCUAACACUGACGCUCAGGCACGAAAGCGUGGGGAGCAAACAGG
rnacentral:rRNA from 1 species